rnacentral:piRNA from 1 species
UUUGCAUGAUGAAGUUCUGAGUG